CCAUCCAGCAUCACGAGACUGAUUAUUAUUUGCCGGUAUCAGACAUUUCUCCUGCAGAUUUCCCCCUUGGAUGCUGCGGUUCCAACAGUAGUAUCGGGAUGGCACAGUAAUGACAUGGGCAUCUUUAACAAGGCGUGAAUUUUAACCAGCUCUUCCCCUCAAGCCGAACAAUGGAAAUUCAUCUACCUUACUUUUAUGUCGGAACUUAUCAAGGAAAUGAAGAAGGAUCCUGCCCGUAAACAUCACCUAUCCAUUCCCUGCACAGAUGCCACCUGACCCACUGAGUUACUCCAGCGCUUUGUGUUUUACCUGUUUUUGCUAUACAGUAUCUUAAAUGUGUGAUUUGAUUCUGAGAAUACCUAGUGCCUUCCAUAAUGUUUGGGACCAAGACCAUUUAUUUAUUUGUCUCUGUACUCCACAAUUUGAGAUUUGUAAUAGAAAAAAAUCACAUGUGGUUAAAGUGCACAUUGUCAGAUUUUAUUAAAGUGUGUAAUGGCAA